rnacentral:ncRNA from 12 species
AAACUUUGAGGACGGAACGGGCCGCCGUCGCCCCAGUUUAUGGGUUCGGAGAUGCAGGAAUUUCACCCUGCCUGAAUUU